GAUGAACGCUGGCGGCGUGCCUAAUACAUGCAAGUCGAGCGAACGGACGAGAAGCUUGCUUCUCUGAUGUUAGCGGCGGACGGGUGAGUAACACGUGGAUAACCUACCUAUAAGACUGGGAUAACUUCGGGAAACCGGAGCUAAUACCGGAUAAUAUUUUGAACCGCAUGGUUCAAAAGUGAAAGACGGUCUUGCUGUCACUUAUAGAUGGAUCCGCGCUGCAUUAGCUAGUUGGUAAGGUAACGGCUUACCAAGGCAACGAUGCAUAGCCGACCUGAGAGGGUGAUCGGCCACACUGGAACUGAGACACGGUCCAGACUCCUACGGGAGGCAGCAGUAGGGAAUCUUCCGCAAUGGGCGAAAGCCUGACGGAGCAACGCCGCGUGAGUGAUGAAGGUCUUCGGAUCGUAAAACUCUGCUAUUAGGGAAGAACAUAUGUGUAAGUAACUGUGCACAUCUUGACGGUACCUAAUCAGAAAGCCACGGCUAACUACGUGCCAGCAGCCGCGGUAAUACGUAGGUGGCAAGCGUUAUCCGGAAUUUAUGGGCGUAAGCGCGCGUAGGCGGUUUUUUAAGUCUGAUGUGAAAGCCCACGGCUCAACCGUGGAGGGUCAUUGGAAACUGGAAAACUUGAGUGCAGAAGAGGAAAGUGGAAUUCCAUGUGUAGCGGUGAAAUGCGCAGAGAUAUGGAGGAACACCAGUGGCGAAGGCGACUUUCUGGUCUGUAACUGACGCUGAUGUGCGAAAGCGUGGGGAUCAAACAGGAUUAGAUACCCUGGUAGUCCACGCCGUAAACGAUGAGUGCUAAGUGUUAGGGGGUUUCCGCCCCUUAGUGCUGCAGCUAACGCAUUAAGCACUCCGCCUGGGGAGUACGACCGCAAGGUUGAAACUCAAAGGAAUUGACGGGGACCCGCACAAGCGGUGGAGCAUGUGGUUUAAUUCGAAGCAACGCGAAGAACCUUACCAAAUCUUGACAUCCUUUGACAACUCUAGAGAUAGAGCUUUCCCCUUCGGGGGACAAAGUGACAGGUGGUGCAUGGUUGUCGUCAGCUCGUGUCGUGAGAUGUUGGGUUAAGUCCCGCAACGAGCGCAACCCUUAAGCUUAGUUGCCAUCAUUAAGUUGGGCACUCUAAGUUGACUGCCGGUGACAAACCGGAGGAAGGUGGGGAUGACGUCAAAUCAUCAUGCCCCUUAUGAUUUGGGCUACACACGUGCUACAAUGGACAAUACAAAGGGCAGCGAAACCGCGAGGUCAAGCAAAUCCCAUAAAGUUGUUCUCAGUUCGGAUUGUAGUCUGCAACUCGACUACAUGAAGCUGGAAUCGCUAGUAAUCGUAGAUCAGCAUGCUACGGUGAAUACGUUCCACGGGUCU
rnacentral:rRNA from 1 species